rnacentral:rRNA from 1 species
AUUGAACGCUGGCGGCAGGCCUAACACAUGCAAGUCGAGCGAGCGGCGGACGGGUGAGUAAUGUAUGGGAAACUGCCUGAUGGAGGGGGCUAACUACUGGAAACGGUAGCUAAUACCGCAUACCAUCAGAUGUGCCCAGAUGGGAUUAGCUGGUAGGUUGGGUAACGGCGCACCUAGGCGACGAUCCCUAGCGGGUCUGAGAGGAUGACCAGCCACACUGGAAAUGAGAAACGGUCCAGACUCCUACGGGAGGCAGCAGUGGGGAAUAUUUCACAAUGGGCGCAAGCCUGAGGCAGCCAUGCCGCGUGUGUGAAGAAGGCCUUCGGUUUGUAAAGCUCUUUCAGCGGGGAGGCGUUACCCGCAGAAGAAGCACCGGCUAACUCCGUGCCAGCAGCCGCGGUAAUAC